rnacentral:rRNA from 1 species
GAUGAACGCUGGCGGCGUGCCUAAUACAUGCAAGUCGAGCGAACGGACGAGAAGCUUGCUUUUCUGAUGUUAGCGGCGGACGGGUGAGUAACACGUGGAUAACCUACCUAUAAGACUGGGAGAAUUUCGGGAAACCGGAGCUAAUACCGGAUAAUAUUUUGAACCGCAUGGAUCAAAAGUGAAUGACGGUUUUGCCGUCACUUAUAGAUGGAGCCGCGAUGCAUUAGCUACGUGGUAAGGGAACGGCUUACCAAAGCAACGAUGCAUAUCCGACCAGAGAGGGUGGUCGGCCACGCUGGAACAUAGACAAGGUCCAAGAUCCUAAGGGAGGCAGCAGUAGGGAAACUUCCGCAAAGGGCGAAAGCCUGACGGAACAACGCCGCGGGAGUGAUGAAGGUCUUCGGAUCGUAAAACUCUGUUAUUAGGGAAAAACAUAUGUGUAAGUAACUGUGCACAUCUUGACGGUAACUAAUCAGAAAGCCACGGCUAACUACGUGC